UAAAAUAUUAUAUAUAGUACCAUAUGGUAGUAUAUGACACAUGUGGAGUAACUACCACCGUGUGAUAGGAUAGAUUUUCCAUAUAUAUAACUGAGCCGAAGGGAUGUUCCCGAACUAAAAAAAACAGAGCCCCUUUCCCCCCCUACCCGCUUCCACCUUCUUCCCCCACCCGCUUCCACCACCGAGCCACGCCGCACCCGCUCUGAAACCGGCCGCCGCGCCACCUCCGACCCCCGAUCCGGCCACCGCGCCACUUUCUACCACCGGAUCCUCCCGCGGAUCCACCUCCUCCCCCUGGAUCCGCCGCCGGCCGCACCUUCUCCCCUGGAUCCGCCUGCGGCGCCAACCGCCCAUGCCCCGCCCCGCCCUGGACCCACUCACCUCCCGCCGCCGAUGCCGCGCCGCCCCGAACGUCCCCGUGGCCGGUGCCGUGCCGCCCCGAACCUCCCCGUCGCCGGUGCCGUGCCGUGCCCCAAACCUCCCCGCCGUCGGUGCCCCGCCCCACCUCUCCCACACCGGCCGGGGCCCCCGCCACCGGUGCCCCCCUCUCCGCCGGCCCCGUCAACACCAGGCGCCGGAACGUCAACAGCGACGAGAUCGACUGCCUCCCGAGUCGCGCGCCCCCCGCGUUCCCUUCCGGCGACCGCCCCGCCCCCCAACUUCUUCUGAACUUCUCCAACCUCCUCCCUAGUCUAGAGCUUUGAGUCCAGGCCCCUGCACCAAAAAAUCAGCGUCCACUCCUAUGGAAAUUCUUCUCCAAAAUCUUCCGGCAAUGUGGGCAUCCAGUCGCGGAGAGAUUUUGCGGAGCGCUGCAUUCCGUCGUCGUCGACCCCGUGGCCGUGGGCAACCAGGCAGCUGAUGUAGAUACAUCCUGAGCGGUAGUGCUAUUCUACUGUCCGCAUUGCAGAUAUAUGGUUGGUGAUUUGCCACUUGUUAAAUUACAUGAUGAGAUGACAUGAGCUGUGAAAAAGGAGCGAGCAGGACACAAUAAAGAUGAUGUCCUGACUUCAUUUUUGGGACGUGUUUUCUCAGUAACUAUCUUGUUCUUGCUCAUUUUGUUGAAAGAUGGUCUUGUGUUCUGUGAAGAUGUGAACAAAAAUAUGUAUUCACAACAAAGAACACAAAGAUGUUGUGGUGAUGUAAAGUCCGCCCCAGCAUCUGUAGUUUUCCAGAUUGCUAUCAAUAUUUUUGUAAUCUUAACGGUGGCUUUGAUGCAAUUUAUUUCUGUAGAUGUAUAAAACCUGUUCGAUUCAUGGUGAACAAAAACAUGUUGCUGCA